UUUUAUGUUGAAGAGACCAACCAACAUAAUAAAGCAUUUAAGCAUGGCUUGCUUUAGUGCUGUUUGUUGCAAAUAGCGGUUGUUAUAUUUCACAAGAGACCAUAACAUAACAUGUGAAGUCUCUUAAACUUGUAAAAUGCUCCAUGGUGCAAAGUGGUGUUGAUAAGUAUUAAAUAAUGCAUCCUCCUCAAAAAAAAUAAAACUAUUAACUGAUGAAUCAUCACGAAAAAAGAGGUUAACGGAUACUUGAACGUGUUCUGUUUUGAAGUUCAUGGUAGGUAGGCUGCACUUUCUAUGAACAAUUAGUAAUCAUUCUCAUAUAUACACUAUGCAGGGAGCAAGAAAAUCUUUACUACAAUGAAAUUUGCAAUAUGUUGUGUUGAAAACUUAUUUAUUUGAAGAAAAAAAAAUUGUUGUUAAUAUUUUGGUAAUAUACAUACCUCCAAUGGGGAUCACUUAAUCAACACCCACCCCUUCUUUAUAGGAUUCUAUGAAUUUCACCUGAUCAAAACUAAAAUUUAGGAGGAAAAUUGUUAAAUAUAUGUUACUAACACACUUGUAAGAGGUAUUUUAUAAAUCAAAUUUUCAUUCAUGAGAUAGUAAAGAGUGGAGACAAUCGAGGUAACAUUUUAUUCCAUUGUUUAGGACAGAAAAAAAUAGUUAUUAAUUUUUAGUCGCUAAACUAUUUUUAGAGUAGUUUUUCUUAAAAAAUAAAAAAUAUAUGGAGACUUAACUUUUUAUUUGAGUUAGAACAUUUUGUUUACACAAUUUGAGUUUAUCAUUGGACAAUGUAAGAGAUUAUGCAUGUGCAUGCUGAUAUGAGG
rnacentral:lncRNA from 1 species